GAUGAACGCUGGCGGCGUGCUUAACACAUGCAAGUCGAACGGAAAGGCUCCUGCUUGCAUGGGUACUCGAGUGGCGAACGGGUGAGUAACACGCGGGUGAUCUGCCCUGCACUUCGGGAUAAGACUGGGAAACUGGGUCUAAUACCGGAUAGGACGAUGGUUUGGAUGCCGUUGUGGAAAGUUUUUCGGUGUGGGAUGAGCUCGCGGCCGAUCAGCUUGUUGGUGGGGUAAUGGCCUACCAAGGCGUCGACGGGUAGCCGGCCUGAGAGGGUGUACGGCGACAAUGGGACUGAGAUACGGCGCAGACUCCUACGGGAGGCAGCAGUCGGGAAUAUUGCGCAAUGGGGGCAAGCCUGAUGCAGCGACGUCGCGUGCGUGAUGACGGCCUUCGGGUUGUAAACUACUUUCGCUGGGGACGAAGCGCUAGUGACGGUACCUGGAGAAGAAGCCCCGGCUAACUACGUG
rnacentral:rRNA from 1 species